rnacentral:lncRNA from 1 species
UGCUUCGGCUACUCACAGUGAGGUUAUUGUAGUUUGACUGCACGUAUACAUGGUCUCUAGACAUACGGGUCCAUGCAAUGUAGAUUGGCUGCAAUAGGUUCACUGUAGGAGUAGGGUAUGCACCUAUAUGGAAUCUAUCGACCUUGGUAGAUAAGGAGAGAUCCUAUGUGAUUUAUAAGACUGAGUUCGUAAGACCUCGGCCAGGGCAGUAUACACAGUGGAGAAAGAGUUUUCCACUCUCGAACUUAAGUCGAAUGAAUCUUGACAUAUGACAGACGAUGGGGUUUGACGAGUUGUCCAUGACCUCCAUCCUGUAGGGAUCUACGAUAGAAGGACUAUAUCAUACGAUAACUGCACCUAGAGGUUCAUCAUUCCAUUCUGUUGGGUAGCCACUACAUGCUGCUAGGUGUCACUGGUGGAUGGUGAGAC